UACGGAGGGUGCAAGCGUUAUCCGGAUUCACUGGGUUUAAAGGGUGCGUAGGUGGGCAGGUAAGUCAGUGGUGAAAUCUCCGGGCUUAACCCGGAAACUGCCAUUGAUACUAUCUGUCUUGAAUACCGUGGAGGUGAGCGGAAUAUGUCAUGUAGCGGUGAAAUGCUUAGAUAUGACAUAGAACACCAACUGCGUAGGCAGCUUACUACACGAUCAUUGACGCUGAGGCACGAAAGCGUGGGGAGCAAACAGG
rnacentral:rRNA from 1 species